rnacentral:tRNA from 2 species
GGGGUUCCCGAGUGGCCAAAGGGAUCAGACUGUAAAUCUGACGCGCAAGCUUCGGUGGUUCGAAUCCACCCCCCUCC